rnacentral:rRNA from 1 species
GGGCCCGCACAAGCGGUGGAGUAUGUGGUUUAAUUCGAUGCAACGCGAAGAACCUUACCAGGGUUUGACAUCCUGCGAAUCUCUUGGAAACGAGAGAGUGCCUUCGGGAACGCAGUGACAGGUGGUGCAUGGCUGUCGUCAGCUCGUGUCGUGAGAUGUUGGGUUAAGUCCCGCAACGAGCGCAACCCACGUCUUUAGUUGCCAGCAUUUAGUUGGGCACUCUAGAGAGACUGCCGGUGAUAAACCCGGAGGAAGGUGGGGACGACGUCAAGUCAUCAUGGCCCUUACGUGUAGGGCUACACACGUGCUACAAUGGCCGGUACAAACGGUUGCGAACCCGCGAGGGAAGCUAA